UGAGGAAUAUUGCGCAAUGGGCGAAAGCCUGACGCAGCGACGCCGCGUGGGGGAUGAAGGUUUUAGGAUUGUAAACCCCUGUUAAGUGGGAAGAAAGACUUGUUUAAAAAACAAGGGAUGACGGUACCAUUAGAGAAAGCACCGGCUAACUUCGUGCCAGCAGCCGCGGUAAUACGAGGGGUGCAAGCGUUAUUCGGAAUUAUUGGGCGUAAAGGGUGCGUAGGCUGUAUGUUAAGUCUGUUGUUAAAUCUCUCGGCUCAACCGAGAGUUCGCGAUAGAAACUGGCAAACUAGAGGGUGGAAGAGAGGAGUAGAAUUCUCGGAGUAGCGGUAAAAUGCGUAGAUAUCGAGAGGAAUACCAAUGGCGAAGGCAGCUCCUUAGUCCAACUCUGACGCUGAGGCACGAAAGUGUGGGGAGCAAACAGG
rnacentral:rRNA from 1 species